ensembl:lncRNA
AGAUAAUAUGAACGUGUUCACCGUUCAAAUUCAUUAUUUGUCAUGAAGUUGCGUUCAGUUCAUCGUUCUCAUAAAAAUUAACGUAUUCAAUGAACGCGUUCUUUUGAACGCGUUCAUGCACAACACUGUCCAUGGAAACGUAUAAAGCAGCUUCCACACUGCCCCGACAAACGCCAACAUUCUCCAACUAACGCCAACAUUCUAAAGUUGGCAGUUGUUGGCAGUAGUUGGUACCUGUCUUUAGAAUGUCCAGUAAACCAACUGCCAGCUCCACACUGCUCAGACUUUUUCCAACUAGCUACUUAUUUUUUCAAUUGUGUGAAAUUAUUUUAAGAUGGAUGAGGUUGAUACCUAGAUUAACGUUUGCUUGUCAAAACAUAUUUGGAAAACAAGUAAUUUGAUUAGGGUGCCUAAAUAUUUGCACAGCCUAAUUUUCACAUUUGAUUUCAUUUCACACAACUAAACACUGCUACACUCAGUGGUUAAAUUGGCUUUUGUGAGGAGGGGGAGCCCUUGUGUGCGGUCAAUGGUCAUCUUUCAAAAGCAUCUUUAUUUAUAUCGCUCUCACAUAAAUUCUGAAUUAAUGCAUUAUUACACUAAAGGGGCUCUUUUUCCACUUCGAAUGUGUAGGGGUUGAAUAGUUCUUCAGACAAACAGGCUACAAUUCAAUUUAUUAUCUUUUUAAUAUCAUUUAAACAACAUUAAGAAACCUAUUUAUUAUUAGCACAUAACAAAGCUGCAUGAAGAAUAUCAAAUGUAUGUUCAUGAGUACAUUAGUGCAGCUAUCAUUAAAACAGACAUUGGUAUGUAUACAUAUAUCAUCACUUGUUUCAGGAUCAUUGGAAUCUAUUACAGUUUUUCAAAAUUACUUUGCACCAACAACCUUAAGUUAGCCUAUGUGAACUUAAAUAUUGUGUGUAAUUCAGAGCUGAAACCACAACAUAGGGACACAUUAUACACAGUAUUUUAGCUAAACUGGUAUUGUCAAAAAUAUAUUUUUAAGCAAGUAUUGGAAAACUAAUAGUUGAGUUUGAUUAUUUCAGUUAGGCCUAUAUUGCAAAGAUCAUAGGAAUCUAGGUAACACUAAAGACCUCUUUGUUAGUCAAUGAACUAUGAAAUAGGCUAACUUAAUUGGAGACUGUAAACAGAGGCUAUAUUUUAUUUAUUUGUCAAAAUUGGGAUUAUUGGCCUGAUUAUACAGUAUGUGACAAGAUCAUUACGUGAAGAUCCCCAUCAACAUGUAAACUGGAUAAUUUGAUGAUGCUAUGCUGUCUUCAGAGUGUCAAGAGAACACGUAGGCUACAGGAU